UACAGAGGGUGCUAGCGUUGUUCGGAAUUACUGGGCGUAAAGGGCUCGUAGGCGGCCAACUAAGUCAGACGUGAAAUCCCUCGGCCUAACCGGGGAACUGCGUCUGAUACUGGAUGGCUCGAGUUUGGGAGAGGGAUGCGGAAUUCCAGGUGUAGCGGUGAAAUGCGUAGAUAUCUGGAGGAACACCGGUGGCGAAGGCGGCAUCCUGGACCAACACUGACGCUGAUGAGCGAAAGCCAGGGGAGCAAACGGG
rnacentral:rRNA from 1 species